rnacentral:rRNA from 1 species
UACGAAGGGGGCUAGCGUUGCUCGGAAUCACUGGGCGUAAAGGGUGCGUAGGCGGGUCUUUAAGUCAGGGGUGAAAUCCUGGAGCUCAACUCCAGAACUGCCUUUGAUACUGAGGAUCUUGAGUUCGGGAGAGGUGAGUGGAACUGCGAGUGUAGAGGUGAAAUUCGUAGAUAUUCGCAAGAACACCAGUGGCGAAGGCGGCUCACUGGCCCGGUACUGACGCUGAGAUGCGAAAGCGUGGGGAGCAAACAGG